rfam:Firmicutes bacterium CAG:194 genomic scaffold, scf139
UGAUAGCUAUGAAGCGUGAGGUUGCUGCAUUCUAUGCAGGUUUUCCGUGGAGCGAAUGUCAAGUUAGGAAACUGACGACAA